AUGCAGCUCUGCUUCAGCUUGACGCACGUGUGUGUGUGUGUGUGUGUUUGGGUAAGAGGUUUUUACUCUGUCACUCAUGUUUUCAGGAGCGAGUCGCUGAUGUGGAAGAAUAAUCAUGGCUCCUGCGUCUCUCUGAAUCUCUUCCUGCCGGCUGCACUGUGCUGGUCAAACAAAUUCAAUUACUGCUGCAGUAUAAGAAACCUCGAAACAACAUGCAUUUUCCUGAGCAGUGAAGCUGCGUCAGAUAUGAAGGCUUGUGUGAAUCCUGUGCUGCAUUUCCUCUCGCGCUCUGAUGGAUUGUUCAAUUGAUUUUGACUUAAAAUAUAAAGAAUAGAGUCACAUGUUUAAUGGAAGAAAAUACCCUUCUUUAUCUAGGUGUUUUAUUAUUAUUAUUAUUAUUAUUUGUAUUUUUUAUUUUUUUUUGCCAUACCAGCAUCUAUAGCUAAGCUAUUUUCAUGGCAAGAUCGAUGUAUUUUAAAAGAAACAAAAAGAGCAGACAUACUGUAGUGAUAAAAGCAACAACUGACAAUCAACUAUAACAAACAUUUUAUACGAUUGUUUUCCCAAGAUGAUUAAUCACAGGACAUUAAAACAAUUGAUUUCUAUUACAGCUUUUCUGAAAUUCUAUGUUUACAUAGACAAAUGCAUUAUUUCAUGAAAUAUGAUCUAAUAUGCAUGCAUUUACAGCACAUAAAUCUGAACAUUGGAUAAAACUCUUGUUUGAUUUUGUUGUUAUAAAAGAGUUAAACAUUUUUCACAGAGGGGUUUUUGGAUUUCUCUUUUUAUAACUCCAUAAAUCAGAAAACACUGUCAACAUACAGAAAAAAAAGACAUACAAAAAAAUGUCACCAUGUUUUUAGGAGUAAAAUGUCUCACAAAUCAGUGUGAAUGAAAUAUGAACGAACCUUCUGUAUAUAGAGAGAAAUAAACCUUUAAAGUCUGGUCAAUGUGAGAGAAAACAGCAAUUUUGUUUGUCUUGUCUUGCCAGUAACAAUUUCUAAAGAAAGAUUUAAUUUGAUGUGAGAGGUGAAACAGAUAUUAAUCAAAUAUAAAUAUGACAGGCUAGUCCUGCAGUUAACACCUCGUGUAACAUGUUGGAGUGGAGUUAUGUGUUACUGAAGCUCCUCUCCUCACUACGAUUGUGAUUUAUGAGCAAACGGCAGCUGAAAUGUACACCGGUUGUUCUUGCAGUAAUCUGUGGAAUGAGGAAGUGUAUCCUUGUGUUUCAUUAACUCCUGGCUAAUGACAUGAGCGCGUCUCCCCACAGGGGCCGCUGAUGGAGACGUCGCCAGCACAGAGCACAAAUUAAUGCGCUGGGGUUAAACGCUGGAACUAACUCGUGUUUCAACAAAAGGCCAGCCAUUACAGCGGGCCAUAAAAACCAUCAGAUCCGUCUCGAUCUCACGGGCUUCGGGUCUUUGCUUUGGCUCUCAUUUUGUCUUUUUCAUCACAUGUCAGGCUGCAUUUGCUCAUCUAAAACAAUCAUAAUUUGCUGUAAGCCUAUGUUGGAGGGUUUUUAAUGAAUCGUCUCUGACUAUGCAGAGAUACAUUUUUCUUUCUAAGUUCUGACGAAACUCUGUUUAGUGUCUGGAGGACUGCGGAGAGGAAAGGCUUCAGUGAUGCAGCAUUAAUGAGAAAAGCGGCUGAAACGAGCCGGUCUGGAGAGGCUCGCGCUCCUUCUAAUUGGAGAUGAUUUUCUUAAAGCCUCUCUUACGGCUGACAGUGUCUGUCCUUCACUUUCUUUCGCUCUCUUCUUUUACGAGACACAAAUGAAGUGGCAAAGCAGAGACUUUGCAGAAAUUCAGGAGUCCACAGGUGUAAUCGACUCAUUCUCAAGCCGUGUUUGUCCCUCUAAUUAGCUGCUUCCCCUUGAGCUAUAACAAGGGCCCUAACGAGAGUGUUUUUGCAGUAAUAAUGGCUGCAGAUACCUGCGGGGUGAGAGCACGCUGCUGUUUCUCAUCCUGUCAGGCAAACUGUGGAGCACUGGGGCUUAAUGAUCCUGAAAACAAGACGUGUGUGUGUGUGUGUGUGUGUGAGCGCGCUUCAUCCAGAUAUUCUCAUGCUUCAGCUGAUUCCUCCCUGUGCAGACGGGACCCGUGUGUUUCAGUCACACAGUAACAGAAGGUCUCGUAUUAGACCCGUCUCAGAGCGGGACGAGAGAGAACAGCACUCCUGCAUUACACAUUUCUAUAAUGCUUUGUCAAAUACAGAUAGCUCCAAAGCAGCUUCACAUUAAUCAUGUCCAAAUCCAAAUCAUGUCAGUGCAGUUAAAUAAUAUUAUGAUAAUAUAAUGAUAAUAUUACUGAAUAUAUUACUGGUCUUUUUUUCAAAUUAUUUGUAGGGAUGCAUCGUGGUUUGAACAUUUUAGUAAAUGAGUAAUAUUUUAGUCGAUAUAUGCAAACAAUUUCCAGCUAAAGUCUUUAUGAAUGUCCAUCUGUCAUAGAGCAACAUUAUAAUAUUGCUACAUCAUCUUACAGUUUCCUAAUUCACUGUUCUUCCUCAGUAUUUUUGGCUGGUUUUCCAUUACAAAUAUCUCAACAUCCUUGAAUCAGAAAACAUUUACUUGACAUGCAAAAUGAUUUAACGUAUAUAUAUAUAUAUAUAUAUAUAUAUAUAUAUAUAUAUAUAUAUAUAUAUAUAUAUAUAUAUAUACAUACAUACAUAUAU
rnacentral:lncRNA from 1 species